rnacentral:rRNA from 1 species
UACGAAGGGGGGCUAGCGUUGCUCGGAAUCACUGGGCGUAAAGCGCACGUAGGCGGAUUGCUAAGUCAGGGGUGAAAUCCUGGAGCUCAACUCCAGAACUGCCUUUGAUACUGGCGAUCCUCGAGUCCGGAAGAGGCGAGUGGAACUCCUGGUGUAGCGGUGGAAUGCGCAGAUAUCAGGAGGAACACCGAUGGCGAAGGCAGGUCACUGGGCCGCAACUGACGCUGAGGAGCGGAAAGCAUGGGGAGUGAACAGG